UCUGGAGUUUGUUAUUAAGUGAUAAGAAAUUGAAAGAAAAUUAGUUUUUGAGUAGUUUUGAAGUUUGGAAGAAUUUGUAAAAGAAAUAUUUCUUCUUGUGAGUUAUGUGAAAUGUGGAUGCUUUUCUCUGAGUCUGAAGCAGGCCGAUUCAGAAACAGACGCUCAACGGUCUCGAGUAUUCCGAGAAUCCUGAUUUCAGAAGAAGCAAUAAAUUGGAAAAAUAUUGAACUCAAAGCGUCAAUAUGUUCAUAUUCAUCAGCAUGUAAACGACCGUGGGAUGUUCAAUGGAAUCAAGAAUUUGAAAAAUUCGAAGAUUUGCUCCCGAUA